rfam:Triticum aestivum genome assembly, contig: Triticum_aestivum_CS42_TGACv1_scaffold_306251_4AS
CUCCUACUCCCUCUGUUCCAAAUUACUCGUAGCAAAAAAGGAUGUAUCUAGAACUAAAAUACAUCUAGAUACAUCCAUACCUGCGACAUGUAAUUUGGAAUGGAGGGAGUAGAUU